GGCCUUGUGGUUAGAGUGGUUAGAGUGUCCGCCUCCGGAGCGGGAGGACGUGGGUUCAAACCCCGUCCGGGGACA
rnacentral:tRNA from 1 species